rnacentral:rRNA from 1 species
AUUGAACGCUGGCGGCAGGCCUAACACAUGCAAGUCGAGCGAGCGGCGGACGUGUGAGUAAUGUAUGGGGCCUGCCCGAAAGCGGGGGAUAACUACUGGAAACGGUGGCUAAUACCGCAUACUUUCCGAUAACCCAUAUGGGAUUAGCUAGUAGGUGAGGUAAAGGCUCACCUAGGCGACGAUCUCUAGCUGGUCUGAGAGGAUGAUCAGCCACACUGGAACUGAGAAACGGCCCAGACUCCUACGGAGGCAGCAGUGGGGAAUAUUGCACAAUGGGCGAAAGCCUGAUGCAGCCAGGCCGCGUGAAUGAAGAAGGCCUUCGGGUUGUAAAGUACUGUCAGUGGGGAGGCGUUACCCGAAGAGAAAGCACCGGCUAACUCCGUGCCAGCAGCCGCGGUAAUAC